rnacentral:lncRNA from 1 species
GUGGAGUUAACAGAGCAAGGAAGGAAGAGGAACAUUUCUGCAGUAAGAGCAGCUGUGGGUUAUCAGGAAUCACCCUUUUGGGUUCACUGAGGUGGGUUUCUUUGAAGAAGGAAUUAUAAAACCUAAACCCACAACUUCUUUUGUAGCUUCUAUAUAAUGACGCUGGUGCCACUGAUAAUAAAUAAAUAAAUAAAUAGAACUUUUCUUCCUAUUAUUAAACACCCUCUGACUCCUGUGUUUUACUUUUUUUGUUUGUUUUUCCUUUUUUUUUUUCCUUUUUUUUCCUUAACAUGGAAGCACCACUCCAUGGUGGUGUUUGGGGUGGCGAGUGCCCGGAGCCACGUCCCCCAUGGGCCGGGACAGCCCGAGCCCUGCCGCUGCCGUCUGAGGGCGGCCGGGCCCGAGGCUGCCCAGGGGCGAGGAGGAACCCGGGGCCCGGCCGAGGGGGCGGGGAGGCGGCGGGGCCGGGCCGGGCUCCCGGCGGCGGGCAGGGAGGAGUUAGGAGGGGACGGUCGGAAACCGGGGGGGGGGAGCGGCCGCGGUGGCGGCGUUAAAACCGCGCGGCCCCGGGCACGGCCGCCGGAGUCGCUCGGCGGCAGCGCAAGAUGCGGGGGGCGGAGGCGGGCGGCUGAGCACGGGCUGCAGUUUCUGAGUGCGUGCAGGAGCAGCGAGCUGCAGGCAGCCCCGGGUUUCUGCUCGGCGUCUCCGUCCGGCGGCCGCGGGGAAGCGGCGCCCAGCCUGGCACCAUGAGCUCCGGCACCAGCGCCCCCGUGAAGGUGGUCAGCAGCCUCGCCAACACUGAUGUCAACUAUGUCAUCAAAGAGCACUAUAAUUACACGGGAAAGCUAAAUGAGAAUGCGGACAGUGGAAUAAAAGUGACGUCGGUGGUUUUUAUCAUCAUUUGCUGCUUUAUAAUCUUAGAGAACAUUUUUGUCUUGCUCACCAUCUGGAAAACCAAGAAAUUUCACAGACCGAUGUACUAUUUCAUUGGGAACUUGGCUCUUUCAGACUUGCUGGCUGGUGUGGCUUACACUGCCAACCUCCUGCUCUCUGGACACAAAACCUACAGCCUCACCCCCUCCCAGUGGUUUGUAAGAGAAGGCAGCAUGUUUGUUGCCUUGUCUGCUUCUGUGUUCAGUUUGUUGGCCAUUGCCAUCGAGAGAUACAUCACCAUGUUGAAGAUGAAGCUCCACAAUGGCAGCAACAGCUUCCGCUCCUUCUUGCUGAUCAGUGCUUGCUGGGUUAUCUCUGUGAUACUCGGGGGACUCCCGAUUAUGGGAUGGAACUGCAUCAACCUCCUGUCCAACUGCUCCACCGUGCUGCCUCUCUACCACAAGCACUAUAUUCUCUUUUGCACCACAGUUUUCACUGGCCUUUUGCUAUCUAUUGUUGUCCUCUAUUGCAGGAUCUACUCCAUGGUGAGGACUAGGAGCCGUAGGCUGACAUUUCGAAAAAACAUUACCAAAGCUACUAGGAGCUCAGAAAAGUCACUGGCGUUGCUCAAGACAGUGAUCAUAGUUCUGAGUGCCUUCAUUGCCUGCUGGGCUCCCUUGUUCAUCCUGCUUUUACUGGAUGUGGGCUGUAAAGUGAAGACCUGCCCAAUCCUAUAUAAAGCAGAGUAUUUCUUAGUACUGGCCGUGCUCAACUCAGCCACGAACCCUAUCAUCUAUACGUUAACAAACAAAGAAAUACUCUGCUGUUAG